rnacentral:snoRNA from 11 species
GGACUGUGACGAGUUGUGUGAAAGGUCUCGUUCGUCGUAAUGGCAAAUUUGCCUUGCCGACCAUCCUGAUAUAUCACCACCCAUAUUCCGAGUCC